rnacentral:lncRNA from 1 species
GCUGAGAUACUUUACACAUCGUUCUAGGAAACAUCAUGCAUGAUGUGAAUGUGUCAGGAUUUCCUACAACGAACACAAGGCAAUCAGCAGAAAAGCUGGAAUAUCUACAAAACAAGAUUGAAGCAAUAUGCUGAUGAAGAGGAAAUUUCCUGUGAUGAAUAUCUUAUAUGCAAUUGAGCCGAAGCUGUCGGAGCAGGUUAGGCUGUCUGACCAGUGCUGGUGGGAACUCCAGGAGCUGUAAGUUUGCACUCUAUGCUUCAGUGAAACAUCUAGAAGGACACUAACAGAACCUCAAACCUUCAGAGGGGAAGGGGGAAGAAGAACUGUCUGACCAGAGAUCUGCUAAGAAUAAUGGCAGAAAGCUCCAGAAGGAAUCACUGUGAAGACCAAAUGCUUCCUGAGAUAGGUACUGUUCUGGUGCCUACAUACACACCAGGAAGACUGGAAAACUGCCCCAAAGAGCUAAAUGUCUGGUCAACAUCAAAGACAGCAGAGAGGUGUCUGGCUGUGCUUUAUGUUGCCUCCAGGAAUGAGUCACUAAUAGCUGCUAUUCAGGAAAAAAGUGAGAACUCUCAGUCCAUAAUUCACCCUCACAAUACAAGUAAUUGA